ensembl:lncRNA
CUGGGUGGGCAGAAUCCAGCACAUAGCUGAGUAUCUGUGAUAAUGAAAGUGGGUGUCUACUCCCAGCCCCAAGCCAAGGCUCAGGUGGUGUGUUGAUAACAGUACAGCACAUUGAAAGUGAGCCAUAAUGAGCAGCGAUAUGAUGAAGAAUACAUGGAACUGGAUUACUGGAUCACUAAGCAACACUCACCGGACCAGUUCAGUCUAGGGUCCAUUCCAUUAAUCCAAUGGAAUAACUCAAGCAUGUAGAUGUGUGUGUGUGAAUGAGUGUGAGGGUGAGCGUGAGAGUGUUUCUCACAUUACUUGUAUAAUGUACAUUUUGUGUUUUGUGCUUACUUUACCAUAGAGCAGAUGAGACAGUAUCUUGGAAACUGUCUACAUACAUAAACUGGGUUAUAGGAGUUUUGGUCCAUAGUUCUCUCCAAGAACAUGCACAGAACCAUAUGGUUGAUUUUCUUACUACAGUCAUAUAGAGAAUUCUUCAUUUGUAAAGUGAAUCUAUGCCAGGGCUCUCCAGCCCUGUUUCUGGAGCGCUACCCUCCUGUAGGUUUUCACUCCAACCCCAGUUGUAACAAUCCUGAUUCAGCUCAUCAACCAGCUAAUUAUUAGAAUCAGGUGUGCUAGAUUAGGAUUGGAGCGAAAACCUACAGGACGGUAGCUCUCCAGGAAGAGUGUUGGAGAGCCCUGAUCUAUGCAAAGCUGGGAUUCUGGCAUUCUUUUGAUGUCAUUUCGUUUUUUGCUAUACUGUACUUUACAUGUGUAAUAAGAAAUGUUUCUGAUGAAUUUGAGAUUUAGAUAAGUUAGUCCAUUUAGAAUGACUACAUUUCAUUCUCUGAAAGUCCACAAUUGAGAUAUUCCACCCAGUUAUCUAUACAUGUAUCUUCCUGUCCCAAGCAUUUACUGUACAAGAUAUUACUUUGAUAAAGGAGCGGUAUAUUAAUGCUCAUAAUAACUCAAACCCCACAUCUACAGUAUAUUCAGAUUGCAUACCGUUGGCACCUUGCCGUUGGCCUCUUACUAUGACAAACAGACACAGCAGUGUGUGGAUUUAUUCAAACCUGUGGUUGUAAAGCAUUAACAUGGACCUCAGGCUGAGUAAGACUUCCAGUCUAUGGAAUGGAUUUGGAGUUAAUCCCCAGUGUGCAUUGAGGCCAUUAGUUAUUCUGAAAGAGUGAUUUACACCUUCACGUCAGCAGCCACUGCACAAGCCUACGUCUUAGUCAGUACUCAGCCCUCAUGGAGUAGAGGGAGAACUUUCCUAUACAGUCAGUCACACCCUGAUGCAUAAACCUCAACCCUUACUGGAGCGCAGUUCACACACCGUAGCUACUGUAGUGGGAUAUCUGACAGCGCUCGUUCAAAACAAAAGCCAUAUUAACUGUGUUCUGUGUGUGUGUGUGGUCUCAUAAUGCUGCAGAGGACUCUCAGCCUCUGUCUCACAAUAUUAGACACAUUAGCAAUAUAUUUGAUACCAUCGUCAUACCUCUAAAUGAGAUUUUCAAUCAGGUUCAUUGGACUCCCGGGGAGCUUCUUGGAAUAGCAGUAAUGAAUAAAGGACAUUUAUUUAAGUGUUUGUUCAUUGUUUCCUUUUUAUAUACAGUAGUCAAUGUUUUGUUUGAAGCUAAGCAGAUGUAGCAAAAAGCCAUGGUUCUUGUGCAUUUAGCGAGCACUUAGCAAGCAACCAAUGUAGAAAGAAAUCUAGAUGUGGGAACCUGUAUUUUCUUAGGCCUAUUUGAAGAAAAUGGGGCAUAUAUUUUGGUGCAAAAGCUUUUCAUAGACAGCUGACAUUUAGUAGUGAUUGUUUGAUGGUAACUGAAAAUAGAUUGGCCAAAGAAAAAACAAUUACACCAGUGUUAUAAUUCAUGAAGAAUCUCAAUUAGAUCAUUCAUUUGAAAUAUGUGUGCUAUUUUUUUAGUUUGAAUAUUUGUGGCUCUUCACAGCUUUUAUUAUUGAUAAUAAGCGCUUCCUUUUCAAUGCUUUAGGAUUGUUGGGUAUUUUAUGAGAAAGAAUAGCUUUUCAGAAUGUACUAUACUUGUUUUAAUUUGCAUUUUGUUCUUAUUUGUUGGUGUUACUUUUUAAAACCAUAACUUUACAUUUGAAUUGAAUUUGUAAAAAACUAAGGAUACAACAUUUUAAUUAAAUUCAGGGAUUUCAAAAUCAGCCUAAGAUUUGUAUUUCUGUUUGUGUCAAAACAUGAAAUCCCCAUUUUUGUUUGUAUGCUCUUUUGAGAUAAAAUGUACUGGUAGUUUGUUUUUCUAUUGUUUUUCUACUGUUUUUCUACCUGCUGUCCCUUUCUCAAAACAACGCUUUGUGUAGCCUGUCGUUGUUGUUACUAUUUUAUUUUAUUUUAUUGUCAUUGAGGCAGUUGUCUCUUCUGUACGUCUGGAUGUUGUUGUAUUUUCAAAUAAUUUGAUUUUAUAAAGAAACUUCUCUUUUA